rnacentral:ncRNA from 1 species
AGCAGGGAAAGAAGACCCUGUUGAGCAUGACUCUAGUUGGGUGCUGUGAAGAGACAUCAGAGGUGUAGAAUAAAUGGGAAGCCCCGCAGCUGUGCAACUCAGGCCAUGGUCCAGUUGCCAGUGAAAUACUACUUACCAUUUUUUCCACUUACCCAGUGAGGUGUGUGGGAAGGCGAGCCCCAAAGGGCUCUCACUGCUGAUGCCAAGUGCCUGGCACUACCUGCUCUAAGGACAGCGUCGGGUGGGGAGUUUGACUGGGGCAGUACACCUGUCAAACCGUAACACAGGUGUCCUAAGGUGAGGACAGAAACCUCCCAUGGAGCAGAAGAUCAAAGCUUGAUCUUGAUUUUCAGUACAAAUAUCAUCCACGAAAGCAGGGCCUCUCAAUCCUUCUGACUUUUUGGGUUUUAAGCAGGCAUCCAGGAGACAGUGGAUGAGGAACUCCAGGCAUGACUCUCCACAUGAGGAACUCGGGCAUCUAGGAUAUUCUGCU